rnacentral:rRNA from 1 species
UCGGGAAUUUUGGGCAAUGGGGGAAACCCUGACCCAGCAACGCCGCGUGAGGGAUGAAGGCCCUCGGGUCGUAAACCUCUGUCGGGAGGGAAGAAAGGUUCGCGUAUGAACACUGCGUGGGCUUGACGGUACCUCCAAAGGAAGCACCGGCUAACUCCGUGCCAGCAGCCGCGGUAAUACGGAGGGUGCAAGCGUUGUUCGGAAUCACUGGGCGUAAAGCGCGUGUAGGCGGCUUGGCAAGUCGAUUGUGAAAGCCCGAGGCCCAACCUCGGAACUGCAACCGAAACUGCCUGGCUAGAGUCCCGGAGAGGGUGGCGGAAUUUCCGGUGUAGAGGUGAAAUUCGUAGAUAUCGGAAGGAACACCAGUGGCGAAGGCGGCCACCUGGACGGUGACUGACGCUGAGACGCGAAAGCGUGGGGAGCAAACAGGAUUAGAUACCCGCGUAGUCC